rnacentral:lncRNA from 1 species
UUCUCAACCCAGAAUCUUCAGGAUCAAACUGGGUAACCAGUGGUUUUCCUUUCCAGAACCAGAAGCACUUGUAGGAAAGUUGAACAGGUUAUCUGGGAACAAAGCAGGACAAGUCUGGGCACCUGAAGGAUCUACUGCUUUCAAGUGUCUGCUUUCAGCAAGGUUAUGUGCUGCUCUCCUGAGCAACAUCUCUGACUGUGAUGAAACAUUCAACUACUGGGAGCCAACACACUACCUCAUCUAUGGGGAAGGGUUUCAGACUUGGGAAUAUUCCCCAGCAUAUGCCAUUCGCUCCUAUGCUUACCUGUUGCUUCAUGCCUGGCCAGCUGCAUUUCAUGCAAGAAUUCUACAAACUAAUAAGAUUCUUGUGUUUUACUUUUUGCGAUGUCUUCUGGCUUUUGUGAGCUGUAUUUGUGAACUUUACUUUUACAA